rnacentral:lncRNA from 10 species
GCACCAAGGGGAUGGCCCAAGCCAUUCAUGAGGAAUCUGUUCCCAUGAUCCAAAUCCCUCCCACCAGGCCCCACCUCCAACGUUGGAGAUUAAAAUUCAGUAUGAGAUCUGGAGGGGAGAAACGUCCAAACUCUAUCAGAUAUGCCAUCUAGGGGGUGUGAGAAAACACAUAUGAACCUGUGUUUUCCUUGAGACCCUCUUUCCAGACACUGCAUGGUUAGAAGCUCCAGUCCAGCACAUGCCAACAUGAAAGAACUGCUGCUCAAAAUUCUGCCUUUGGAAAAUGUUCUGCAGGGAAGGAGCAGCCAUUGGAACUGUGGGGGCAAUUUUCCUUAUGUGAGAAACGGGGUUAAACUGAGAGUUUGGAAGAUCUUCUGAAACUGACUAUAUAACUCCUGGGUUCUAAUAGAAAGGAUUAAAAAAAUGGAUCUAAGUUAUGCAAGAAGAAAGAGGCAAAAAACAGAAUGACAUAAUAAAAAUCAACUGAUUAGCCAUAAGAUAAUGGUAUAUGUGUGAAUUAGGCUGAAGAGUGAAAACAUCAAAAAGAAAUAUGACAAUUCAGAAUUGAGGAAGGGAAGAAAAAAUCUUUAUUGUCACAGUAUCUGUUCUGCUUAGCAAAAUCUUGAUCUAUUUCUUUCUACUGUACUUUAGGUUUAAUCUGUAAAUCUUGGCUGCUUUCUGAGGAAAUGAAACAUACAGAUCAUUUUAUACAGUUCUACUUAAAAUAUUGUUUUAUCUGGAUAAAUCACACUACUA